ACGGCUCAGUAACACGUGGACAACUGCCCUUAGGACGGGUAUAAACCCGGGAAACUGGGUAUAAUUCCCGAUAGGUCUCGUCUGCUGGAAUGCAUCGAGAUCCAAAGCUCCGGCGCCUACGGAUGGGUCUGCGGCCUAUCAGGUAGUAGUGGGUGUAGCGUACCUACUAGCCUACGACGGGUACGGGUUGUGAGAGCAAGAGCCCGGAGAUGGAUUCUGAGACAUUAAUCCAGGCCCUACGGGGUGCAGCAGGCGCGAAAACUUUACAAUGCUGGGAACAGCGAUAAGGGAACCUCGAGUGCCAGGUUACAAAUCUGGCUGUCGUGAUGCCUAAAAAGCAUUAUAUAGCAAGGGCCGGGCAAGACCGGUGCCAGCCGCCGCGGUAACACCGGCGGCUCGAGUGGUAACCGUUAUUUUUCGGUAUUAAGGGUCCGUAGCCGGCCGGAUAAGUCUCUUGGGAAAUGGGGCAGCUUAACGGUCAGCCUUUCACGGGAUACUGUCUGGCUCGAGGCCGGGAGAGGUGAGAGGUACUUCAGGGGUAGGGGUGAAAUCAGGUAAUCCCUGAAGGACCACCAUUGCCGAGGGCGUCUCACCAGAACGGACCUGACGCCAAGGCCUCACCAAUAGCGGCAUGAGCCGGGGCCCCUUCCCGGGUCAUCCUAGCAAUCAUCAUUACUCACCCGGUGUGGGACGCGUCAUUCCCGAGUUCUUCACCGUUGGGAAACCGUGAACCGAUCCCCGGGGGAAGUACGGCCCAAGGCAGAACUUACAGGAAUUGGCGAGCGAG
rnacentral:rRNA from 1 species